rnacentral:rRNA from 1 species
ACGCUCGACACCUACUGGAGGCAGCAGUGGGGAAUAUUGCACAAUGGGGGAAACCCUGAUGCAGCGACGCCGCGUGGAGGAAGAAGGUCUUCGGAUUGUAAACUCCUGUUGUUGGGGAAAAAGAGGAUGGUACCCAACAAGGAAGUGACGGCUAACUACGUGCCGAGCACGCCGGUAGGUAAUCUGAGGCGGGCGUGGACAAGGC